rnacentral:lncRNA from 10 species
UGAUCCACCCAUCUCUGCCUCCCAAAGUGCUGGGAUAACAGGUGUGAGCCCUCACGCCUGGCUUCCUUAUAUUUAAACAAUUCUAUUAAUGUAAAAAUACCAUUAAGAAAAAAGGCAAGCCACAGCAUGCAAGAAGACAGUUAUAAUACAUACGUCUAAAAACUACUUCUGUCCAGAAUAUACAGAAUCUUCUACAAAUCAAUGAGAAAAUGCAUAUAACUCAAUUUUAAAAUGCAUAAAAAACUCCUGAGCAAAAAUUUUAUAAAAGAGGAUAUCCAAAGGGCCAUACACAUAGAAAAAAGGUUCAACAUCAUUACUCUUUAGAAAAAUACAAAGCAAAUCUAUAAUGAAAUACCAUUUACACCCAUUGGAAUGGCUAAAAUUAAAAAGACUGAAGGACUGACAGUAACUCAUAUUGGUAAGGCGGUUGAACAACUGGAAUUCUCAUACAGUAUCAUAGCAGGAGUGUACGUUGGUACAGUUUGGAAAAAAGUUUGACAGUUUCUUAUAAAGUUGAACAUAGAGACCCAAUAAUUCCAUUUUUAGAUAGAUACCUAAAAGAAAUAAGUAAUAUAUUCUUCAAAACUCAUAUAUAAGAAUGAUCACAUUUGCAUUUUUCAUAAUAACUCCAAACUGGAAACAUGUCCACCAACAGGAGGUCUAAUAAUUGUGGAAGAUGGAAAAUUAUACUGCAAUUUAAAAAAUAACCAACUACUGAUAUUUUAAAUCGCAUAGAUGAAUCUCACAGACAUUAUGUUAAGUGAAAGAAGCCAGACAAAUAAGAGUGUAUACUGUAUAAUUCCAUUUAUAAAAAGUUCAAGAACAGGCAAAACCAAUUGAUGAUACCUUGAAAUAUGAGGUUAUUGACUUCUGAGAUGCUGGAGGCAUUCCAUAUCUUUAUUUGGAUAGCGGUUAUGUGAAUGUAUAAAUGUAUAUACACUUAAGAUUAGCACAUUUCAUCUUUUGUAUGGUUAAAUAUAAUUUAGACAAAGCAAGAGACCAAUUCAGGUGGUCCUGUCUUAGUCUGCUUUCUCCUGCUGUAAAAGAAUACUACAGACUGGGUAAUUUAUAAAGAAAAGAAAUUUAUUUUGCUUAUGGUUCUGGAGACUGGGAUGUCCAAGGGCAUGGCACUGGCAUCUGCUCAGCCAUCUGGUGGGGGCCUUAUUGUUGUGUCAUCUCAUGAAGGAAAGUGGAAAGACAAGGGAGCAUGGGAGACAGAAAAAAGGGGUGAACUCCUGAGAUAACUGAUCUACUACAGCAAUAACAGCUUUAAUCCUUUAAUCCACUCUUACCCUAUGACCUAAUCACCUCUUAAAGGUCCCACCUAUUAAUGCUGCCACACUAGCAAUCAAAUUUCAAUAUAAAUUUUGGAGGGGACAUUUUAAAUGAAAGCAGGUUCCAAACUCACCUAUUUAUGACACCUAAAACAGGAAUGGUGAAAAUAGGGGAAGGGGAUUGGUUUUUAAUGUCACAAGAAACUUCCUAGAAUAUUCAGAUUGAAGGGGUUCACUGUUAAGCAAGAUGAAUUUUAAAUCAGAAAUAUAAAAUAUUCUCAUUAAAUUAUAAUGCAGCUAGGAUCAAGGCAUGUUGAUAAAGUCUUCUGGACAGGAAAAACAAGCCAUAUGUAAAGGAAUAAGGAUCAGAUUAAUGUCAGACUUCUCAUGAACAAUUGGAUAUUACAGGAAAAUGAAGCAAUGUUCUCUCAAAUUUCUGAGCCAACAUAUCAAUCAGGUGUGAGAACAAAAUAAUUUUUUUCUGACAGGCAAAGGAGGGUAACGUUUACCUUUUAAUCGUGCCUUUUAAGGGAGUUAAUUGAAGAUACAAUACAGUCAAGCAACAGGAGGAAAGAAACAACAAAUGGGAGACAUGAGGUUCCGAGGAUCAUGGUUCCAACACAGGACAGCAGAAAAGAGGAGUUGCAAAAUGACUGCUACAAAACAGACUUAAAGAGAAAACAUUCCAGUUUCACGUAGGAGGACAAAAGAAAAAACAAAACAACAUGAAAGAAGGAUGGAGCAAAUGCCCCAGAUGAAGCCUACACGACAUGAGUCAGAGAACUUUGGCCAGGAUGUCUGGGGAAAAAGUUUCCUCUUUCUUCUCUGGGAACUAUCUGGAGAGGGUUGUUUUAACGCUGGAUGUGAACAGCGACUCGUGUAGCCCCAGAAGCCUCUGACAGCCGCGUUGGAAUCAUAAGUUCUCAAAAUGAAGGUUGUGGUCUAGAAAGCAUAUUGUGAUUUGUACAAGAAGCACAUUCCCAUUUUACAAAAGUACAAAAGCACAUUUUGGACUUUUAACAAAUUCAACUGUUUUGUGUUCUGUGUGAGUAAAUUUUAGGUUGCCCAUCAUUGAAAACCAGUUUAAAAAAAAAUAAUGGGAGUAGAUAAUCCAGACAACAUUUUCUACCGUAUUUGUUGACUCCAGUUGUUGGAAAGUAAAAUUCUGGAGGAAGAGCUGGGAUAUCUCCAGGGGCUUAGUUUAACAUCAUCAAAGACUCUCCUGCUCCCCCUUUGCAUGUUACAGUAUCUGCUUUACCAAUCAGAGGGAAAUUUAUCAUGUAGGAUUUAAAGGAGAUAUUUAUGGCGUCCGUAAGCACAAUGACUUUGACUGGUAAGACGUCAGCUAUUCCCUUUAGGAGAUAAAAGGCCACAGCUGGUGAGGUAAUAGAACAGGAACUGUUUCAAUAUUUCAAAACAGAAGACCUUGUUGAAGAAGAGAGAUUUUAUAUGGCAUUUGCUUUUAUUUUUUUCCUUCUAUGAUGAACAGGUGUGGGAGUCAAUUCAAGAAGGCAGCUUAGAUGAUUGUGAGACAAGGGAGGGAGGUAAAUAUUUUUGAUGGUUGGGGAAGGACUGAGAUUUUCAAACUUCAAACCAAACAUGUAGUCCAAGCCUUUUCUACCUGUGUACACAAAGGAAAGAGGAAACUAAGUCAAUGUAAAAUAGGCAGUUGUUGUUUGGAAAAGUUAUGAAAUCCUCCUGGCUACACAAAACAGAAAGCCCAGCUAUGUGACAAGUGUUUGAUGUAAAUAUGCAAAUGCAGUUUUAAAUUCAUUAUACCUAAGGGAACAAGGUGUCUGGGUAAGGGGGGUUCUACUGUUUCUUAAGCUUACAAAGCAGGUCCUUGAAUAAUGUCAUUUAAGUUCAAUGUAAUUUCCUUAUAAUGUUGAUGAGAAAAAAAAAAUGGAUUCCUAGCUGAAGUCAUUGUGUGUGUGGACUUUGCAUGUCCUCCCCAUGUCUGGUUUCCUCCCAAAACCCAAAGCUGUGUCCGUUAGAUGAAUCAGUGUGUCUCACUGGUCCCAGCGUGAGUGAGUGUUGCUAUGUAUGAGUGGGCCCUGCAAUGGGAAUGGUGACCUGUCUGGGGCUGGUUCCAGCCUGGUACCCUGAGCUACCAGAAGUGGCUCUGGCCCCUUGAGCUUCUGAACUUGAAUAAGUGGGUAAAUUAUUAUCUUACUUGUUUUUGUUAACCUUUCUUAAGUGUAUGUGUAGCUCACCUUCCUUUCAAAGUUAUUUUGAUGUUUAUUUCAAUAUUAGAAGUGUUUGGGUCUUUCUUUAGAAGUUUGGUGAUUUUUUUUUUUGUGACCAAAAUAUGCUGUAGCAACUUAACUCUUGUUUAGAUCGGUUAGCUUAUAGCAAAGCUAUUUUCGUUAUGUGUUCUUUCACUUGAAGUUCCAGUUUCCAAGAACCUAUUGUCCAAGAUAAGUAAGGACUUACUGUACUUCUGGGCACACAAUGGGCUAAGCAUCUUAUAUUAUCAAAUGAGAUGAAAUAAAAUAUAAUGCUAAAAUGAUGUUAAAAAGUUAUCACAUUAUAACAAAUUAUAAGAAUUAUUAAAAUGACAGGAUAUAUUAAAGCACUGUAAAAAGUAAAGCUUAGUAGAUGCAUUAGAGGUUAUGAUUGGCAUUGCUAACAUUAUUAUUAUUAAAAUCCUUCAGUGCUGGGCACCACUUAUUUCUACCCUUAUAACCCCAUGGACCUGUACUGUAUCUUGUAAUAAAACCCUCAAUAAAUAUUUGAUACAUUGCUGAAUAAAAGGUAGGUUGACUUCUUAAAGUACCUGCAAAAUACCUCAUCCACAAGAGAAAAAGGCAAGAGAAUAACCUUGCUUCAUGAAGAAAGUAUCGAUCAUUCAGGCGUUAAAUUUUCCAUUUGUUCAUUUUUUUUUUUUUCCAGCAGAAACUCUUGGAGAAAUUGCAUAGCAUUAUUUUAAACAAUUCCCCUCAGAGGCCCAUUAGAUAGGCUUUUCUGCAGACAGGAUAGAUGUCUUUUACAGCUGGUCAGUGUUUAGUUCUCCCAAUACUUGACUGAAGAAAGAAAAUAACUGGGAUGUAAGAUAUCUGACCUAUAGAUUGCUCAUUCUCUGCAUGAGUCAAUCUUUGAAGUCGGAAGAUAAAAAUCACCAUUAAUCACAAAACUUUCUUACCAUCAUAAGGUCAGAUAUCCCAGGGCCCUUCCAAAAUUACCACGUGGACUGGCAUAGGGCGAGAUUGGCUCAGCUGUGGUCACUUUUAUGACACAGAGCUCCUUCCCUCUGGUUGAUGAUAUUGAAUGAGCAGGAAGGAAGAAAAGAAAUAAAAGUCAGCUAACCAUGGUUGAGUCAAUCCAGCCCACGGCAUUCAAAGGCUGAAGGGCCACCUGACACUCCAGAGGCUGCUGGAAAUGCAGGGCUGUUUCAUCCUGGGGUGAGUUUCCGUUAGAAGAAAUACUGACUUGAAUGAAACAAAGAGUCCGUCCCUUGCUUUAUUGGACAAUGAAAGUUCCCAUCAUACUGAUCAAAGAUCGAGGAUUUGGGACAUGUGGGAAUGCAUUAAUAUCUCACCUGUGGCUGAGGCAGAUGUGUGUUUCCAAAUGAUAAUUUCUUUUCCUGCAAAGCCAGGUGUGUAAGGAGAACUAAGGGAAAAGGAAACUUUUUUUUCCUGUGAAAAUCUGGAUCCACUUCAAUCCAAUUCAGUUUCAAAAACAUUUAUUUACUUUGUGUCCCUUAAGUAAAUAGAAUAUUAUCCUGAAAACACAAAGAACAUAGAAACUGAAGUGAGAUAGGAAAUUAAAUGGAAAGGAAGGGAAGAGGGGAGAAAAACAGGGAGGAAGGAAAGAUUGCUGAGGGACCUUUUGUAUUGUGCUGUUUAAUAGACACAUUAUUGCUUUCAGUCCUCAAAGCAAUCUUGGGAGAAUGGUAUUGUUUAAUCAUUUGCCAGAUGAGGAAACUGAAACUCAGGGAGGUUCCUACUUGCCCAGGGAGGUAAAUAUUGUUCAUUCAAUUUUGCUUUUUGAUUUCUGAAUUAUUUUCUGUAUUUUUGGAAUUGCUCUCAUUUUGAUUCUUUGCAGUGGGGAUGGGACAGGAAACCUUGUAAUUGGAACAGAUAAUACUAGAUGAUUACUUUCCCCUCUUUCCCAGACUCCCUUGAAGCUAUGGCAAAGGCUCUGAUAACCACAGGCAUCUGCCGCAGAUUUUUCCUCAAAAGUUCCUGAGAGGGAAUGAGUGGAGAGUAUGCUUGUGCUCUCUGGCAGUGGCUCUUUCUCUGUCUCUCGCUCUGCUAUAAGAGCAGAUGACUCCAAUGAUGGUUAGUGGUGGCUACAGCGUUUUCCUUACGAAAGUGUUUCUGAGACUUAAUUUUGCAUUAUUGCUAGAAGCUGGGUCUUAUGCUUUUGUUUUCUGGCCCUUCUAAUACUCUAUUAGCUAUUCAAUAUCUUUUUCAAAAACACUUCAUUGUAGAUUAUUUAGCACAUUCAAAAAUAUAGAGAAUAGCAUAAUAAGCCUCCAUAUACCAAUUUCCUUCUUAAACAAUUAUCAACACAUGGACAAUCUUGCUUCAUCUGCACCCCUAUCCAUUUCCACAAUUACCUGGAUUAUUUCAAAUGAAUCUCGGGCCUCAUCUUAUUUCAUCUGUAAAAUGUUAAUUCUUUAUCUCUAAAAUAGAAAUAUUGUUUUACGAAUGAGCACAAUAUCAUUAUCCUACCUAAUGAUAGUUCCUUAAUAUUAAAUGUCUGUAUACAGAUGUCUGAUUAUCUUAUAAUUUUGAUACAUUUAUAAAAUAUCUUCAAAUCAGCAUCAAAAUAAGUUCCAUACACUAAAAUUGGUUGAUAUGUCAUUUAAAUUUCCUUUAAUGUAUAGAUUCAAUUUUCCUCUUACUCUUUUGUUUUUUAAACACAUUGUUUUCCUGUAGAAUUUCCCCCGUAAGAAUUUGCUAAUUGGAUCCUUGUGGUUUCACGUAUCAUGCUUUUCUGUCCCAUGUGUUUUCUGCAAAUUAUUAGUUGGAUCUAGAGGCUCAAUCACAUUCACCUUGGAUUCAUUUGGCAAGUCAACUUCAUAAAUGGUGCUGUGAGCCUCUAUUAGGGCAUAUAAAAUGUCUAAUUGUCUCCUUUUUCGUGAAGUCAGCAGUGAUUGAUGACUACUAUUUAGAUACACUAUAUCAUUAGGAGUAGCAGAAAGGUGAUAUUAUAAUUCUAUCAUACUCUUUAAAUUUGUUACCUGGAAUCCUUCCAUAAAGAGAAAAUUCUCAUACAUUAC